rnacentral:rRNA from 1 species
AUUGAACGCUGGCGGCAGGCCUAACACAUGCAAGUCGAGCGGAUGAAGGGAGCUUGCUCCUGGAUUCAGCGGCGGACGGGUGAGUAAUGCCUAGGAAUCUGCCUGGUAGUGGGGGAUAACGUCCGGAAACGGGCGCUAAUACCGCAUACGUCCUGAGGGAGAAAGUGGGGGAUCUUCGGACCUCACGCUAUCAGAUGAGCCUAGGUCGGAUUAGCUAGUUGGUGGGGUAAAGGACUACCAAGGCGACGAUCCGUAACUGGUCUGAGAGGAUGAUCAGUCACACUGGAACUGAGACACGGUCCAGACUCCUACGGGAGGCAGCAGUGGGGAAUAUUGGACAAUGGGCGAAAGCCUGAUCCAGCCAUGCCGCGUGUGUGAAGAAGGUCUUCGGAUUGCAAAGCACUUUAAGUUGGGAGGAAGGGCAGUAAGUUAAUACCUUGCUGUUUUGUCGUUACCAACAGAAUAAGCACCGGCUAACUUCGUG